UUAAGUCAGUCGGAAAGCCUGCAGUAGAACGCUGCACAACAUGCUACAGUUUGUUUCACUGCCCCCUUUGCCCAAAGGCAUGUUUAAACCAAGCAUCCCGUCGAAGCUUCAGCGACAUUUGGAGGUCCACCUAAAAAAUGCCAUUACAUUUGAAGGUAAUGUCAUUGCAUUUUAGAUUAAAGUUAUACGCACAUGCACACAAUUGUGUCAUGUGACUUGUUUGUCAUUGUCUAAUCUAAACAUUUUCUUGACUUGCUUUUAGAUAAGAAGAUCUGGACAGAUACAUCAAAAGCCCUCCUGCAAGGUGAGGUGUCACCAGUGUUUAGGCUGAAGAAAAGAAGGGUGGAUGACAUUACUACGGAAGAAGAGCAGCAAACUGAGGUUUCAGUCAGACCUGCUGAUGUGAGCACACCAGUGGAAGGGGACUCGGUUGAAGUGCGUAUUCUGCAUGAUUGCAGACAUGCAGCAGAGUGGGUUGAGGCCAAUAAGACACUCUUCUCUGCCAGAGUGGACCUGCCUGAUGUUCUAUACAUGGGGGAGGAGGAACAGGCUGAGGCUGCUCUGCAGUAUAAAAGACUGGGGCAAGAAGACAUGGAUGAGCAGGAAUGGGAAGAAAUCCUGGAGGUCUUCAAAUUCACAUUCUACAACAUUGAGGACAUGUGGAAAUUCUGUGACAUAGUAGUGGACGAAAAAAAUUAUUUGGCAUAUUGUGAAUGUCACAAAGAUGAAUAAUUGAAGGAUAACAGAACAUUUGAUCAUGUUGUGACUUUGUGUGUUCAUGUUUUGUUUUCUCAUUGAGCACUUAAUAAUUCACCUGAACUACACUGUAGAUCUCAAGAGUUUGGGUGGUAGUUGGUGGUAUUUAGGUGCUCCAGCAGCACAAGAACAUAAUUAGCAUAGACAAAAGAUCCUCGGCUUUAUAGGCUACAAAUAGACACUUGAGCCCCAAGUCACCCACGUUUAUGUUUUCUGUAAUGACCUAAGCUGUAAUAUUACACAAAACAGUGUAUAUUGCUCUAUGUACAUGGCAAUCAUGAAUGAGAAGUGUUUUGGAAAAGACAAAUGCUAAUGCUUCACUUGUCCAAAUAAAAAGAACCAGAAAAGCACUCAGAGA